rnacentral:piRNA from 2 species
GAUGUGGGUAAAGCUGGAGCUGAAAGGG